AAUGAGAUGCCUGAAUAAAGGGUUAUUUUGAUAGAAUAAAUUAUGUAAAAUUUUACUCUCAUUA
rnacentral:tRNA from 2 species